CUUCUUCUCCUCCUUUCUUCCUCCCGUCCCAAUCUCCUCUCCCUCCUCUUCUCCUCUCUUCCCAUGGGGCAGGGGGCAAACUCGGAAGUGCUCGGGAGGAAGCCGAGUCCGAGGUCGGCGGUGCCGGCGGCCGGCCAACAUCACCCGCUGCUCGGCCUGUAGCAGCCGACCCCCCCAUCCUCUUCAUCUUCCCCCUUCUUCUUCUGUUCUCCCCCCUUCUGGGAAACAGGGUCUCCGAAACCAGUCACCCGAGAGAGGGGAGAGCCCCUCGGCCAUGCCGCAACCCUCGCCGAGACCAAUGGCGGCUGCGGCCGAGCCAACGGUUCUCCGAGUCUGUCGCAGCAGAGGGGGAGGAGAACACCUCCAACGGCGACCAUCUUCUCAGCUACCAAAUCUAGAUGUGCUCGGUUAGGGUUUGGCUAAUAAGGAAAGAAGAUGAUCGGGAGGAGAAUAGUCUUCGGCCAUCAACGAUCGGGGUCAAUGUUGGCUCAGAGGCCAAACACUGCAGAUCGAAAUAUGAAAUGAGAGGGAUAGAGUGAUCAGAAGACUCACCUAGCUCCGGGAAGGAGCUGUGGGGCUUUUCCGGCGAGCUGCUGCAUCUGCUCCGGCGACGCAGUGCGGGGACGAGCUCCCUCCUCCUCCGGCGCCACUGCUCUCGAUCCGGCUUCUCACACAGAAGGAGAAGGGAAUGAGAGGGGGUGAGAGAAGAGUCCUUGGUUCUUAUAGACCUCGGCGGGAGAGAGAGGUGGUGGUGAUCGUGGUUGUCAGGCGGUUAUAACCGCCUCAACAGUUGCCGAUCUCCACCGCCAUUCCUUCCAAGUCUCCAGAUGGGCCGGGGUUUACAAUAUCUUUAUAGUUACAUAAUUAAUGUGUUUUUAUUUGAAAAUAUUACCUUGUUGAAAAGUAUUGGGAUUUGUAAGUGAUGUUAUAGCCAACUUCUCCCCUUCAAGGUUAUUUUCCCUCUUGAAGAAGUGUGGCCUGUGGGGAGUUCUACCCUGUUGGUGGAUAUAAUGGUGAUGGUUCUUUGCUCAUCGGAGAUGUACAACUGAUUUUCUUUUGAAUAUUUAACGCCUCCUCGCCAGGACUAAAAUCAGAUUACUACUAAACUUUAGUAUUGUAUGACUUAUCUAUUCAUAUUCCUCGUUAUUGUAGCCAACAAGGAUGUGUUUCACUUUGUUCA